rnacentral:rRNA from 1 species
AGAGUUUGAUCCUGGCUCAGAACGAACGUUGGCGGCGUGGAUUAGGCAUGCAAGUCGAACGAAUCCCACGGCCGUAGCAAUACGGUUGUGGGGGAAGUGGCGAAAGGGGCAGUAAGGCAUGGCUAACCUACCCCGGGGACGGGCAUAGCCUCCCUAACGGGAGGGUAAUUCCCGGCGAUUCGGCGGCGGGGCAUCUCGCUGCCGGGAAACGAAUUUCGCCUCGGGAGGGGGUCAUGUGCUAUUAGCUAGACGGCGGGGUAACGGCCCACCGUGGCGAAGAUGGCUAGCGGGUGUGAGAGCACGACCCGCGCCACUGGCACUGAGACACUGGCCAGACUCCUACGGGAGGCUGCAGUCGAGGAUCUUCGGCAAUGGGCGCAAGCCUGACCGAGCGACGCCGCGUGCGCGAUGAAGGCCUUCGGGUUGUAAAGCGCUGUCGAGGGGGAGGAAAGCCGCAAGGCCUGACCUAUCCCUGGAGGAAGCACGGGCUAAGUUCGUGCCAGCAGCCGCGGUAAGACGAACCGUGCGAACGUUGUUCGGAAUCACUGGGCUUAAAGGGCGCGUAGGCGGCUUGAAAAGUCAGGGGUGAAAUCUUUCGGCUCAACCGGAAAAGUGCCUCUGAUACUGUCAAGCUCGAGGGAGGUAGGGGCGGACGGAACUUCCGGUGGAGCGGUGAAAUGCGUUGAUAUCGGAAGGAACGCCGGUGGCGAAAGCGGUCCGCUGGCCCUCUACUGACGCUGAGGCGCGAAAGCCAGGGGAGCAAACGGGAUUAGAUACCCCAGUAGUCC